AACGAACGCUGGCGGCAGGCUUAACACAUGCAAGUCGAACGAGAUCUUCGGAUCUAGUGGCAGACGGGUGAGGAACACGUGGGAACAUCCCUUUCAGUUCGGAAUAACGUUGGGAAACUAACGCUAAUACCGGAUACGUCCUUCGGGAGAAAGAUUUAUCGCUGAAAGAUUGGCCCGCGUCUGAUUAGCUAGUUGGUGAGGUAACGGCUCACCAAGGCUACGAUCAGUAGCUGAUCUGAGAGGAUGAUCAGCCACAUUGGGGCUGAGACACGGCCCAAACCCCUACGGGAGGCAGCAGUGGGGAAUAUCGGACAAUGGGCGCAAGCCUGAUCCAGCCAUGCCGCGUGAGUGAUGACGGCCUUCGGGUUGUAAAGCUCUUUUGUCCGGGAAGAUAAUGACUGUACCGGAAGAAUAAGCCCCGGCAAACUUCGUGCCAGCAGCCGCGGUAA
rnacentral:rRNA from 1 species